GAUGAACGCUGGCGGCGUGCCUAAUACAUGCAAGUCGAGCGAACGGACGAGAAGCUUGCUUCUCUGAUGUUAGCGGCGGACGGGUGAGUAACACGUGGAUAACCUACCUAUAAGACUGGGAUAACUUCGGGAAACCGGAGCUAAUACCGGAUAAUAUUUUGAACCGCAUGGUUCAAAAGUGAAAGACGGUCUUGCUGUCACUUAUAGAUGGAUCCGCGCUGCAUUAGCUAGUUGGUAAGGUAACGGCUUACCAAGGCAACGAUGCGUAGCCGACCUGAGAGGGUGAUCGGCCACACUAGAACUGGGACACGGUCCAGACUCCUACGGGAGGCAGCAGUAGGGAAUCGUCCGCAAUGGGCGAAAGCCUGACGGAGCAACGCCGCGUGAGUGAUGAAGGUCUUCGGAUCGUAAAACUCUGUUAUUAGGGAAGAACAUAUGUGUAAGUAACUGUGCACAUCUUGACGGUACCUAAUCAGAAAGCCACGGCUAACUACGUG
rnacentral:rRNA from 1 species